AUGAACGCUGGCGGCGUGCCUAAUUCCUGCAAGUCGAGCGAACGGACGAUUAGCUUUCUUCUCUUCUGUUUUCUGCUUUCUGUUGUUUUACACGUUGAUAACCUACCUAUUAUACUUUGUUUACUUCUGUAAACCGUUUCUAUUUCCGGUUAAUUUUUUUAUCCGCUUUGUUCCAAUUUUAAUGUCGGUCUUUCUUUUUCUUUUUGUUUGAUCCGCGCUGCAUUAGCUAGUUGGUAAGGUAACGGCUUACCAAGGCAACGAUGCAUAGUCGACCUGAGAGGGUGAGCGGCAACACUGGAACUGAGACACGGACAAGACUACGACGGGAGGCAGCAGUAGGGAAUAGUACGAAAUGGGCGAAAGAAUGACGGAGCAACGGCGCGUGAGUGAUGAAGGACUGCGGAUCGUAAAACUCUGUUAUUAGGGAAGAACAGAAGUGUAAGUAAAUGAGCACAUCUUGACGGUACCUAAUCAGAAAGCCACGGCUAACUACGUG
rnacentral:rRNA from 1 species